rnacentral:rRNA from 1 species
GACGUAGGGCGCGAGCGUUGUCCGGAUUUAUUGGGCGUAAAGAGCUCGUAGGCGGCGUGUCGCGUCGACCGUGAAAACUUGUGGCUCAACUACAAGCUGGCGGUCGAUACGGGCAGGCUGGAGUUCGGUAGGGGAGACUGGAAUUCCUGGUGUAGCGGUGAAAUGCGCAGAUAUCAGGAGGAACACCGGUGGCGAAGGCGGUUACCUGGAGCUUUGCUGACGCUGAUGCGCGAAAGCGUGGGGAGCGAUCCGG